UAUCAGGGAAACUUAACAUGCCUGUGUUUCGUAGUGAACAGGAUAUCUAGGGUUGAGAAUUACUGCGAACACUGUUAUGUUGUCACGUGAGCUGGGGCUCCAUGGUGAUGCACCCUGGGCUCCCAGAACAAUGUGAAGCACUGAGAUGCCCUGCACCUGGGCCUGGGUCAGAAUCCUGGUAGAGGGGUCUUUGGCAAGGACAGGAGAGGACCUCCUUGGGAUUGGACUCAGCUGAGCAGCAGGAUGCCUGGUUGGCUUGGGAGACAAGCAAAGUGGAUCAGCAAAGGCUGCAGUCACCAGCAUCUUUUCCAACCUUAAUGAACUGUAUCCUCAAAAGAACACUAUCAGACUGGUAAGACAAGCAUUAUUGUCCCACUUCACAGAUGAAGAGCUUGGGGGCCCUGUGGAUGUGUAGGAGAGUCGGCCUUCCUUUUUAUAGGCCUUUUGCUGAGCUCAGAGGACAGAGCAGAAGACAAAGCCGAAAGCAGCCCUAAGCAGACACUAUCCCAGCCCAAGGAGCUAUGCAGACAGCUCCUGCCUAGAGGAGAAACAAUUCUCUCCUUCAGCCAGGCAUGUGGCACAGAGGUGAACAGGAAAUGCUUAGGGAGACAGUUCACAGAUAUAUAUGUACUUCACAGGGCACAAUUUAAUCCAUAAAUCAAUCAUGGAUCACUGCUAAAGAAAACAAAAUAUGCUGCCACUAAUUUGCCACCACCCUGUGAGCAUGAUUGGAUGAUGUUUAUUUUGAUUAGGAGAUUGCUCCAUUUAUAAAUCUUCAAUACAUCCUGUCCCCCUAAAACGGCAUCUGGAUCUUUUGAGGGUUAAAAAAAAAAAAAGUGAAAUUGGAUGAGGGAUGAGAGCUGGACUUCUGUGUGUCCCGGGGUCUCUGGAUCCACAGCCUGGUGCCUAGCAUCAGUUAAGCCCACGCUGGGGUCGCAUCACAUCCCGCAAAGCCACGUGCUCUGUGAGGCCAACAGGAGCCCCGCCGGGUGGACCAGCUGGAAUCUCAGAGAGCGCCGACUCUGAAAAUACCCGGCUCUGCAGAAGCACGCUGGGCCCAGGGGGCUUCUAGACUGACAGCUCCAUUUAUCAACUACCUAUUGGUUUUAAAAAUUGGAGUGUCUUUUCCGCGUUGACUGAUUUUGGCUCUAAGAGAUGUCGCUGGUCAUUUCAGAGUGACUGAACCUCCCCUCUAACAGAUCCCGGGAAUUGUUUUCAGGAAAGGUAAAAGGCAGCCUUUUCUGUCACAACACAACGCUGAGCCGGCAGCCUGGCUCUGUCAGGAUCUGGGGCUCCAGCGCCCGAGAAGCCCAGCCUCGCCGGCGGCCAAGUUCACCGCGAGGCCACGCGCUGCCUGCGCUGCGCUCCCGGACCCGCACCGACCGCAGCGCGCGCCGCCGGUGCUUCUCCCACCCCAGCCUGGAAGCUGCCUCCCUCCGCCUAUCCCUGCAGGAUAAGAAGCCCGAGGAGGCGGAGCAUGGAACUCGACAGUUAAAACAUUUAAGAGAGAAAACCUAGUGUCUUGCUGGCCUGAAAUCGAGUACGCAGCCCGGGGUGAUCAGGGUCUCCCGGCCCGGAUGUGUGAGACUUGCUUCCCCUGGGCAAUAGGCGAUACGAUGCUUUAGGAGGAAGGUAUCUCUCCCUCCUAAGCCCCGGAGGGGAGAACUUCCAAAGACAGAAAACCACAGGGUUCCUGGCACAGAGCUUUCCCUUUAUCAGCUAAAGCAGAAUCUUUUCUGGCCUUAACCUGGCCCCUUCCUCUAACUGUAGGCAGAGAGGCAGACAGAAAAGCACUUGCUGAAACACAAAGUUUUGUUCUGUCCUCAACGAACUGUCUAGAGUUGAUUGCUGAUAGUCGUGGUGCAUUAUGCCUUCCUGGUUUUCAUUUAAUUGGGCACCACGCUGCCUUUCAAGACGCCUUAAAGGAACCAACAACCAAAUCCAAGAGAGCUGGACAGACCAUUGAACACACAGUAGGCUGUGUCUCGUGGCUUUCGUUGUCUGGUGCCUCAAAGAAAACACCAGAAAGAUUGUUUCUAAGCUAGAGCCACCCCAGAUUGCUUAAAGUGCAAAGCUCACUGCUGUUGGGGGUACCCUUGUGAGACACUGGAAAGCUGGUUUUACCGUGGCCCUAUGAAGAGGAAGACUGAAAUUUAGACAGUAAUACCUUUACUAGGAUUGGAAAAGAUUUGGUUAAUGACAGCCCUGUUAUUUCUAAAACCCAUUAUCACUGUAUGAGAG
rnacentral:lncRNA from 1 species